CGGACGGGGGAGUAAUGUCUGGGAAACUGCCCGAUGGAGGGGGGUAACUACUGGAAACGGUAGCUAAUACCGCAUAACGUCGCAAGACCAAAGAGGGGGACCUUCGGGCCUCUUGCCAUCGGAUGUGCCCAGAUGGGAUUAGCUAGUAGGUGGGGUAACGGCUCACCUAGGCGACGAUCCCUAGCUGGUCUGAGAGGAUGACCAGCCACACUGGAACUGAGACACGGUCCAG
rnacentral:rRNA from 1 species